UAGCUAGUUGGUGGGGUAAGGGCCUACCAAGGCGACGAUCGGUAGCUGGUCUGAGAGGAUGGCCAGCCACACUGGAACUGAGACACGGUCCAGACUCCUACGGGAGGCAGCAGUGGGGAAUAUUGGACAAUGGGGGGAACCCUGAUCCAGCAAUGCCGCGUGUGUGAAGAAGGCCUGAGGGUUGUAAAGCACUUUCAGUGGGGAGGAGGGUUGAUAGGUUAAGAGCUAAUUAACUGGACGUUACCCACAGAAGAAGCACCGGCUAACUCCGUGCCAGCAGCCGCGGUAAUACGGAGGGUGCGAGCGUUAAUCGGAAUUACUGGGCGUAAAGCGUGCGUAGGUGGUUGAUUAAGUUAUCUGUGAAAUCCCUGGGCUUAACCUGGGCAGGUCAGAUGAUACUGGUUGACUCGAGUAUGGGAGAGGGUAGUGGAAUUUCCGGUGUAGCGGUGAAAUGCGUAGAGAUCGGAAGGAACACCAGUGGCGAAGGCGGCUACCUGGCCUAAUACUGACACUGAGGCACGAAAGCGUGGGGAGCAAACAGGAUUAGAUACCCUGGUAGUCCACGCUGUAAACGAUGUCAACUAGCUGUUGGUUAUAUGAAAAUAAUUAGUGGCGC
rnacentral:rRNA from 1 species